rnacentral:rRNA from 1 species
GCGACGACCGGCGAACGGGUGAGUAACGCGUACACAACCUACCUUUAAGAGGGGAACAGCCCUGGGAAACUGGGAUUAAUGCCCCAUGUGAUUAAAGAUCUACAUGGAUUUAUAAUUAAAGCUUCGGCGCUUAAAGAUGGGUGUGCGUACUAUUAGAUAGUUGGUGAGGUAACGGCUCACCAAGUCUACGAUAGUUAGGGGGCGUGAGAGCGUGACCCCCCACACGGGUACUGAGACACGGACCCGACUCCUACGGGAGGCAGCAGUAAGGAAUAUUGGACAAUGGGCGCAAGCCUGAUCCAGCCAUCCCGCGUGCAGGAUGACGGCCCUCUGGGUUGUAAACUGCUUUUACAUGAGAAGAAACACUUGGAUUUAUCCGGGUUUGACGGUAUCAUGGGAAUAAGCACCGACUAACUCCGUGCCAGCAGCCGCGGUAAUACGGAGGGUGCAAGC